rnacentral:tRNA from 1 species
GGGGUAGCCCAACAGGUAGAGGCGGCCGCCCGCUCAAUCUCAGACUCUCGCUCCAGACUCAGCAUUCGCCGCCGAUCGCCGGAUCGCGCGGACGUGGACGGAAACCGUCGAGAUGCCGGUUCGAAUCCGGCUCGCUCUG